GGGGGCAUAGCUCAGUUGGGAGAGCAGUAGACUGAAGCAGGUUGCGUAUUCUAAAGGUCCUGCGUUCGAUCCGCGGUGCCCCCA